UUAAUUGAAGAGUUUGAUCAUGGCUCAGAUUGAACGCUGGCGGCAGGCCUAACACAUGCAAGUCGAGCGGCAGCACAGAGAAACUUGUUUCUCGGGUGGCGAGCGGCGGACGGGUGAGUAAUGCCUGGGAAAUUGCCCUGAUGUGGGGGAUAACCAUUGG
rnacentral:rRNA from 1 species